UACGGGGGGGGCAAGCGUUGUUCGGAAUUACUGGGCGUAAAGGGCUCGUAGGCGGCCAACUAAGUCAUACGUGAAAUCCCUCGGCUUAACCGGGGAACUGCGUCUGAUACUGGAUGGCUUGAGUUCGGGAGAGGAAUGCGGAAUUCCAGGUGUAGCGGUGAAAUGCGUAGAUAUCUGGAGGAACACCGGUGGCGAAAGGCGGCAUUCUGGACUGCAACUGACACUGAAAGACGAAGCCAGGGGAGCAAAACGGG
rnacentral:rRNA from 1 species